GCUGGACUUCAAGACUGGGCUCUAAAAGGCAUUGCAGCUACCUCCUUGCACACUUAGAUCACACAUGUGGGGAAGCAGCUGCCAUGCUUUCAGGGCACUCAAGCAGCCCCGUGGAGA
rnacentral:precursor_RNA from 8 species